rnacentral:rRNA from 4 species
UGGCUGUCGUCAGCUCGUGUCGUGAGAUGUUGGGUUAAGUCCCGUAACGAGCGCAACCCUUGUCCUUAGUUACCAGCACGUAAUGGUGGGCACUCUAAGGAGACUGCCGGUGACAAACCGGAGGAAGGUGGGGAUGACGUCAAGUCAUCAUGGCCCUUACGGCCUGGGCUACACACGUGCUACAAUGGUCGGUACAAAGGGUUGCCAAGCCGCGAGGUGGAGCUAAUCCCAUAAAACCGAUCGUAGUCCGGAUCGCAGUCUGCAACUCGACUGCGUGAAGUCGGAAUCGCUAGUAAUCGUGAAUCAG